UACGAAGGGGGCUAGCGUUGCUCGGAAUCACUGGGCGUAAAGCGCACGUAGGCGGACUCUUAAGUCGGUGGUGAAAUCCUGGAGCUCAACUCCAGAACUGCCUUCGAUACUGGGAGUCUCGAGUUCGGGAGAGGUGAGUGGAACUGCGAGUGUAGAGGUGAAAUUCGUAGAUAUUCGCAAGAACACCAGUGGCGAAGGCGGCUCACUGGCCCGAUACUGACGCUGAGGUGCGAAAAGCGUGGGGGAGCAAACAGGG
rnacentral:rRNA from 1 species